AUGCAACGUUAUGGAUACCAUGACCGAUCACCAUCGAGAAAGAAGAAUUUUGAUAAAUCACUUCAGGUGAGCAGGGCCUUCAAGUGGCCUCAAUACGCCGGGGUUGUAAAUGACAUACCUUUCCUCAUGGGAAAUGCCGCCUCCUUACUAAAAAGGAAUAGAAUCAAGUUAUUUUUACCAAAGAAGUCACGCUCUGACGGCCCGACGAGUCAUCUACUAAAAAGGACCCUCCCCGUUGUGCGCCCCUCCUUGAAUUAUUCGGUCAUGCAAUACUUUUUUAAUACUAAGAAUAAAAUGCAUUUCGACCCCGUCCUAGUUCUCAAUCAUUUCGUGGCCGUGGGUGUGGCUGAACCAUCUACGAUGGGGGGAGCGAAGGGAGGAAGCUUAGAUAAGAGAAUACGCUCUCGCAUCGCUUUUUUUAGAAAGCUCUACCAGCGAGAAAAAGUGUUUGGCCCGAGCCAAAAAGAGGUUGAUCCACUUCAUUCGCCAAGCGAAUGA
rnacentral:rRNA from 1 species